rnacentral:piRNA from 1 species
AUUGUAAGACAUGGUGAGGGAGG